rnacentral:rRNA from 1 species
UGCGUAGGGUGCGAGCGUUAAUCGGAAUUACUGGGCGUAAAGCGUGCGCAGGCGGUUCGUUGUGUCCGAUGUGAAAGCCCCGAGCUCAACUUGGGAAUGGCAUUGGAAACUGGCGGGCUGGAGUGUGGCAGAGGGGGGUGGAAUUCCACGUGUAGCAGUGAAAUGCGUAGAGAUGUGGAGGAACACCGAUGGCGAAGGCAGCCCCCUGGGCCAACACUGACGCUCAGGCACGAAAGCGUGGGGAGCAAACAGG